rnacentral:tRNA from 1 species
UGGGAUGUAGUCUAGUGGUAGGACAGCAGACUUUGACUCUGCCCGUGCUGGUUCGAUUCCAGCCAUCCCAG